GGGAAAUAAAAACACCCAAAUUUGCGAGCUCUGCGACUUCAAAAUCUGACGUUGAAUGGGUUUUCUCCUUUCAACUCUGCGGGUGUUCUUGGAGCUCAAAACCCUAACGAAAACCAUUGCUUGAACUUCGAUAUACCGAUCCCAAAAUGUCUAAAAUUUCCUCGACAUUUUUGCUCUAUUUCAUCCAAAAUCGGUUCAUCAAUACGGUUUCUAGUUCUACAUUGCCUUUAGCGUCUGUGUCUACGAUUGAAUUCCUCAAGAACUCUUGUGGGCUUGCUGCGGAUUCUCCUUUUUCCGCCGGUCGAAAGCUUCAAUUCGAUGAAAAAAGCGCCAAGAAGUACGAAGCCGUUCUUGGUUUCUUGAAAUCAUAUGGAUUCGAGAAUUCGCAGAUCGCCAAGUUGAUCGCGAAGCAACCCUCUAUCCUUCAAUCGAGAGUCUACAACAAUCUGAAGCCUAAAUUCGAGUUCCUCAAGGAUAUAGGGUUUGUCGGUCCUUUACUUCCAAAGGUAAUUUUAUCGAACCCCGGUAUUCUGCUGAGGGGCUUAGAUUCUCAUUUGAAACCAUCGUUUUGUUUCAUUAAGGAAAUGCUUGAAUCGGAUGAGCAGGCUAAUGUUGCUAUUCGUCGAUCUUCGUGGCUUCUAACUUCUAGUUUUAAGGGUGUUAUGCAAUCUAACGUUAAUGUUUUGCUCGGUGAAGGCGUACCUUCUAGGAAUAUAUCGAAAUUGAUUGGGCUGCAACCAAGAACUAUUAUGCAAAAGGUUGAUAGAAUGGUUUGUGCAGUGAAGAAGGUCAAGGAAUUGGGCAUUGAACCACACACCCGUAUGUUUGUUCAUGCGCUUCGUGUAGUGGUGUCCAUAAGUGACACAACUUGGAAGAAGAAAAUAAAUGUUUUGAAGAGUUUGGGAUGGUCUGAGAAGGAGAUUUUAACAGCAUUUAAGAGAGACCCAUAUUGUUUAGCUUGUUCAGAGGAGAAAAUGAGGGCUGUUGCAGAUUUCUGUUUGAACACUGCAAAAUUGGACCCAGAAACUGUAAUUUCUUACCCCAAGUUCUUCAUGUCUGGACUCGACAAGUGUCUCCGGCCAAGGUUCAAAGUUCUUGAGGUUUUGAAGGUCAAAAAACUGAUUAAGAACAGAAAGAUUGCUUGGUUACUUUUUCUAGGGGAGAGAAAUUUUGUCACGAAUUAUGUUCUUAAGCAUUUGGAUGAAGUCCCAGAUCUUAUGGACAUAUACAGGGGCAAUGCGGCAGCCGAAUCCAGACCUGUUCUAUAGGAUUGGAAGGUUCUUUUGGACGUGUAUCAUAGUAUCGGGACUGGUAUUUAAAAGACCAAAAGCAAUGGCGAGCUUCUCGCUAUGGCUAUUGAGGAGCUGCUCCUGCACAUCGUCCUCUACGUCGUGAAUCGAGCUUUCUUGAUCUUACCAACUCGAUCGAGAAGGUCGGCCAUGGCACUGUAGUGAUCCAUCAAAGGCUUUAAUCCAUUUUCUUGAAAUACUAGAUUCCCUCACACCAUGCCAGUGACUGCGGGUAAAGAUGACACAAAAACAUAUAUCAUUUGGCUCGAUUGUUCCUCGUUUAACGUUAUAUCAAAGAGAUCCAUGAGUUCAUGACAGA